rnacentral:rRNA from 1 species
GAUGAACGCUGGCGGCGUGCCUAAUACAUGCAAGUCGAGCGAAUGGAUUAAGAGCUUGCUCUUAUGAAGUUAGCGGCGGACGGGUGAGUAACACGUGGGUAACCUGCCCAUAAGACUGGGAUAACUCCGGGAAACCGGGGCCAAUACCGGAUAACAUUUUGAACCGCAUGGUUCGAAAUUGAAAGGCGGCUUCGGCUGUCACUUAUGGAUGGACCCGCGUCGCAUUAGCUAGUUGGUGAGGUAACGGCUGACCAAGGCAACGAUGCGUAGCCGACCUGAGAGGGUGGUCGGCCACACUGGGACUGAGACACGGCCCAGACUCCUACGGGAGGCAGCAGUAGGGAAUCUUCCGCUAUGGACGAAAGUCUGACGGAGCAACGCCGCGUGAGUGAUGAAGGCUUUCGGGUCGUAAAACUCUGUUGUUAGGGAAGAACAAGUGCUAGUUGAAUAAGCUGACACCUUGACGGUACCUAACCAGAAAGCCACGGCUAACUACGUGCCAGCAGCCGCCGCAG